AGGACGAACGCUGGCGGCGUGCUUAACACAUGCAAGUCACGGGGGCCCGCAAGGGUAACCGGCGAACGGGUGCGUAACACGUGAGCAACCUGCCUAGAUGUGGGGGAUAGCCGGCCCAACGGCCGGGUAAUACCGCAUACGGUCACGAGGAGGAGUCUCCUUGUGAAGAAACCUCCGGGGCAUUUAGAGGGGCUCGCGGCCUAUCAGCUAGUUGGCGGGGUAAUGGCCCACCAAGGCUUCGACGGGUAGCUGGUCUGAGAGGAUGGCCAGCCACAUUGGGACUGAGAGACGGCCCAGACUCCUACGGGAGGCAGCAGUGGGAAUCUUGCGCAAUGGCCGAAAGGCUGACGCAGCGACGCCGCGUGUGGGAGGACGCCCUUCGGGGUGUAAACCACUGUUGCCCGGGACGAACAUCCACUUUCGAGUGGACUGACGGUACCGGGUGAGGAAGCACCGGCUAACUCCGCGCCAGCAGCCGC
rnacentral:rRNA from 1 species